rnacentral:lncRNA from 10 species
GACCGCGUCCGAAGACCGCCGAGGCCUCCCGCAGCUCCGCGGUGACACCCGGGUCAGGGGCGCGGGGCCGGGCGCCGGGGAUUGUGGGAGGCGCGGGGGGGCGCGCCGGCCGCCUUCGGAGCCCCCCAACUCGCGUCCUGCAAAGGCCGCCGGGCCCUGUCGAGAAGACCCGACCGCAGAUGGCGGGGAGGAUGCUCCCGGCGGCGUGGGAACCGGGUCUGACUCCCGAGCCACCGCCGCUUCCGCAGGGGCGCCGGCCCCGGGAAAGUCAAGUCAUAAAUCCCUGAAUCUAAAACUCCAUUCUCAGAGAAAAGGCCUCCAAGGACGGGCGCCGUGCGCGGCAACUGCCUGCAGUUUUGAAGCCCUUUGACUAUUUCAUAACAAAGACAAGGCCGGGCGGCUUGGACGCUUAGGAAAAUCCUGGGGCUUUGCAAAAACAACAGGUUAAUCUAGUCGUGUGGGAUGAUCACCAAAACAAGACAGGAAAGAAGAACACCGUGUCAAUGCUGAAAAGCCAGCCCCUGUGAGCCCCAAAGUGCACGUUUUCCACAGUCCCAAGGAACACGUGACUGUGUGUUUCCACACUUGAGAAGUCAGGAUAAGACCCCUUGGAUAAUGGAACAGGGGAUGGGGGUGGGAGCAAGCACCCUACCUGGUCACCUGCUUAACUUAGAAACCAGCUUUUAAAACCUGUAACUGCAGUAUGAGCUACGAUCAAAUUUGUCUUAACGUAUUUUUUUUAAUGUUUUUAAUACCCAGAACACAGGGCUUCUACUCCAGGGUUUCCUCGCCAGGGAACCCCAAACACACAGGACCUGGAGAAGCCGGGUAGAGCUGGCUCCUGGCCCUGCGCUUGGGUGGUCGGCUGCCUUAAGAAGAACUGCACCCCAGAGACAGGCUCGCAGCUGCCGACCUUAUCCACUCGCCCUUUCUGCUGGAGCCCAGGCCCAGUGCUCCAGCAAGGAGGCUGAGAAAAUGCUGAAGACUGAUGCCCACGGGGGACAGCUUGGGCUAAGGAUAACGUUUGCAAAACAAACCUUUAAAAACCCAUAGCAACCUGUUUCCUAGAGCACACUCUUCAUCUCUCCACCCCCAAACUAGUCCCGACUCGGAUCCUCCUUUUCCUAUCCUCUUUCUCUUGCUCUCCCGUCUCCUAUUCACUUUUCUUCUCCUUUCCUCUUGAUUAUUAUAAACAAAUGCUUUCCAAGUCUUACCGCCAUCAUAUGUGUACAUAUGCAACCCUUACUGUUACCAAUUUGUUGAAGUCAAGACAGGAGGAGGCAAAGUUUAAAAAUCAGAAGUAUUGCAGGAAAUGAAAAUGGAGUGAGUGUUGCCUGGGUAUCAUAAUUUUUUUUUUUUUUUUAACAGUUCCUCUACUUGGCUCUCCUCCAAAGGUACGCGGCCACAGCAGGCAGGGGCUUGGCAGUGUGGGAGGAGACACCACAGAAGACAGGGAAGAACUACCAGGCCUUGGUUCAUCUCCACACUGGCGAGAGAGGACGUGCAGGAAGUAUCGGCUGCCAGAUAGGGAGCUGAGACUUCAAGAAGCUAAAUAAGGUGUCCAACACCACAGAGCAUGGAGCAAAGGACACGGGACUGCAAAUCUUCCUAACUCGUGUGCUCAUCUGGCUAUCUCACCAGGGCCUUAAAUUUAAUAUAUCCCAAACUGAACUCAUCUUUACCCCUUCCCACUUUGCACUCCUCAAAUGUCCUUGUUUAAAAUAGUUACCUUUAUCUUUCCUAACCCAGAAACUCAAAACCUGGCAUCAUCUUUGACUUCUCUCUUUACCUUCACAUUCAACAGUUUCCAAGACUUAAAGGCUUUAUUUGUAGGAUCUCUACCACUGAUCCUCUACAGUUUCACACCUACAUCCCAUUCUCGUUCCCAAAUCCCCAUAACUCCUCUCCUGGCCCAUCCCUUAACACUGAAAUCCUGGCUUGGAAAAUAUGGUCACAUUCACAGCAGCUGUCCCCAAGAAGGAAGCCAAGGCAACAGUAUGCACAAUGAAGUGAGUCUUCACUGAUCUCUCCAUAUUUUGACAUUUUACAGCACUUAUUAUCUCUACUUUGUAUUUUGAAACUGAAUCCAAAAUAGUUUUGCAUUUGUUGUUUAACAGUCAUGUAUGUAGUUUUUUUUUUUUUUUCUUUUUUUUUGGAGACAGAGUCUGGCUCUGUCACCCAGGCUGGAGUGCAGUGGCGUGAUUUUGGCUCACUGCAACCUCCGCCUUCUGGGUUCAAGCAGUUCUCGUGCCUCCCUGAGCAGCUGGGAAUACAAGCAUACACCACCAUGCCCAGCUAAUUUAUUUUUAGUAGAGAUGGGAUUUCACCAUGUUGCCCAGGCUGAUCUUGAACUCCUGAGGUCAGGCAAUCUGCCCACCUCAGCCUCCCAAAGUGCUGGGAUUACAGGCAUCAGCCACCACACCCAGCCCCUCCAUGUGUGUAGAUAUUUAUCCACAUCCAAAAAUUAGGAAAAGCAGGACGCAUUGAACCUUUGGUACCCAGCAGCAGGAGCCUGUGGGUCUUCUGUCUGGAGCACAAUCACAAGGACCGAGCAUCAGCAGCAUCCACUGUCCUUUCAGCUCCAAAUUUUAAACUCCCGUAAGAGAGACAUUAUUGGCCCAGCUUGGGUCGUGUGUCCACCCCUUUAAUCAAUCAGCUUUGGCCAAGCAGCAGGUCAUCCUGGUCCAAACAUCACAGUUGGGGGCCUCACUUGUAAAUAGAGCUUGUUCCCAAAAAAGAGGGAGGCACACACCAUUCAUUUGUUUAUUCAUUCAUUCAAUCAGCAAAUAGUUGAGCAUCUAUAGAAAUAUAUUUAAGGUUCUAUUAUGUACACAAAAUGUAUAAAACAUGGCCCUGCCCUCACACCAUGAAAGUUACCACAUAAAAAGAAGUCACCAGAUAAAAAAAGCAUAACAGUAUUCAUAAGUACUCAUGAGUGACCAUCAAUUCAGUUACACAUGAUGGAAGAUAAUUCAUUAUACCUAGUAUAAGCCAGUGACGGUAAAAAUAGUUAGCAGCAAUGUGUACAUGAUCAACAAAAGCUCACAGCAGCACCAUUUACACAAAAACAGAAAAGUACCCAGAUGUCCAUCAGAGGUAGACCAGAUAAAAUAUAAAAUAUACCACCACACAAUGGCUAACACCUGUAAUCCCAGCACUUUGGGAGGCUGAGGCCGGCAGAUCACUUGAGGUCAGGAGUUUGAGACCAGCCUGAUCAACAUGGUGAAACCCCGUCUCUACUAAAAAUACAAAAAUUAACCAGUUGUCAUGGCAUGUGCCUGUAAUCCCAGCUACUCAGGAGGCCGAGGCAAGAGAAUCGCUUGAACCUGGGAGGCCAAGGUUGCAGUGAGCCGAGAUCACACCACUGCACUCCAGCCUGGGUAAAAAAGCGAGAUUCCAUCUCGAAAAAAAAAAAGUGUAUAUGUAUAGUGUAUGCAUGCACAGAAUACUUUACAGCAAUAAGAAUGAGUGUUCUGCAAAUAUACACAAUAUUGCUGACUCUCCCAAUGUUAAACAAAAGCAUCCAGACACACAACAAUGUGUACAGUAUAUGAUUCCAUUGAUAGAAAGCUUAAAAACAGGCAAAAUUAAUUCACCCUUAUGGAGUCUUAAGUAAGGGGAACAAAAGGGGCCAUCUGGGCAGUGAUAAUGCUGUUUCUUGAGCUGGGUGCUGGGUUCACAGGUGUGUUCAGUUUGUCACAUUCAUCAAGCUUACACUUCUCAUACAUCUUCUUUUCUAUAUGUAUGUCAUCCUUCAAUAAAAAGUUUUUAAAAAAUAAA